GACAGAGGGCGCAAACGUUGUUCGGAAUUACUGGGCGUAAAGCGCGUGUAGGCGGUUUGCUAAGUCGGGUGUGAAAGCCCUGGGCUCAACCCAGGAAGUGCACUCGAAACUGGCGGGCUAGAGUAUCGGAGAGGUUGGUGGAAUUCUCGGUGUAGCGGUGAAAUGCGUAGAUAUCGAGAGGAACACCUGCGGCGAAGGCGGGUUGCUGGGCUGACACUGACGCUGAUGCGCGAAAGCCAGGGGAGCGAACGGG
rnacentral:rRNA from 1 species